AAAGGGGCGGCCGAGGCGAGCUGAGGUAAACUGCGGCGAGCCGAGGUUAAACCAAGUUAAAUGGAAGCAAGCUAAGGAAAGCAAGCUAAGUACACUGAAGCACACCGAGGUCAUUUUCUCUCUGCUGUCCCACUUCAAAAGAUCGUUAUGGUCCUUGAUUGGCUGCCAGAAUCUGCAAAUGGACCAUCACAGCAAAAAUGGCCUGAAAAGAAGUCCAGAUUUAGCUUAAUAAUCUCCUGGGAAGGUAUGCCAAAAGAGAUCUGUGUAUUGAAAUGGCUUCUGUAUAGAAAAUUAAACAGUUUUGAGCCACUAGGUUAAUGGCUAUAUAAAUGAAAAUCUGGACCAAAACUGGGCCUUUUUGUUGGAGCCCAGUGUAAAAUCACAAAAUUUGACUGGAUGUUAGAUUUACAUUUUAUUUUUGUGUAUAAAAAUUUCCAAAUUGCUAGCAGAAUGUACAAACCAAAUAAAGAUCACUCACCCACCAUUCAACUUUGUGAACUUAAAGCAAUUCAAAUAAUAAACUUUCCAAUUGAAACUGUUUAAAACUGGCUAUUUUAAUAAUGGAGAUAUAAUAAUUCAAGUUGGAAUGUGUUCAGGGGACUGAACUUUUUAUUGUGCUACAAGUCCAGUUUUGAUUUUAAAUGUAAAGUGCUUAUCUUAUUCAAUAUCAUGCCACAAGGACAAAACAAAGCAUAAUCCUAAUGAAGAAAGGAAAUUAUGCUUGGACAACUAGCUAUGUUGGCAUCGUUUUGAAUGCCCUAGCCAUAAGCAUUGACCUUGAUUCUAUUCCCAAUGCUAUCAUUAGAACUCGGUCUCACCAGGAGUAGUUUGAACCUUAGCAAAGUAGGGCACUGCAAAAGGCAAAGAAAACUGAGAAGGUUGUGGUUGUUAUGUGCAUUUUAGCUUUCCUCAAAGUUUUGCUUAGAUUGUAUUAUUUAGUAAAUGGAAAACACAAGCCACAUAACUGUAUUUUUGCAUGAUAUAUUAAUUACUAUUAAAAGCCAUGGUUUCAUA
rnacentral:lncRNA from 1 species